CAGUCCUUGGGGGAGCUUCUCUUGCCCUGGGCAGCUGCCCGGCCCUGGCGUGGAGAAGCCAUACUUUGGGGCUCCUCUUCAUGGCAGGUUCUGUCGCCCUAUUCUAAGUGAUCCGGAGUUUCUCAGGUGUCCCUUGAUCACUGUGGAGACAACGUCUGACUUCCGAGGAAGGAAUCUGCAGUUUCCGUGUUGUUGAGCCCUUGCCUGUGCGGCAAGCGGGCGGGGAUCCAGCGGCCUCCAUGUGAGAGAACUGAAGCACAGAGAAGUCAGACUGCUUGAUGAAAGUCAGCAACAGAGGAAAAGCCAGGUUUCCAACCCAGGGUCUCUGGCUUCAAGCACUGCUGCUUGUCCACUAAUUCUGCACUGUCCCUGCUGCGCUUGUCUUCUAUCAUCUGUGGAUAUGAUAAAUUACAAUAACCAGCUGGAGAAAAGCAGCCCGACGUGCGUCCUUGCGGUUUUCUUCCCUACGUGCUCAGGU